AGGAGGAACAACCACAGUGGCAGCGGCCAGCUCUGGAGCCCAGGAUUCAGCUCCUGCAGUAACUCCGGAGCUCUCCAUAUGCAGGGCCUGGAGGCUCUGGGGGCAA
rfam:Canis lupus familiaris chromosome 26, whole genome shotgun sequence.